CCUCGAGAUUUUCCAAAUGCAAGGAGGUUCCUCCCUAACCCCUGGCCUUUCCCAUUGAGAGUCAUUGAUCCAGUCCUCACUCAACUUAUAAAAAGACCGCCUGCACGAUAUUAUGAAUUUCUCAACCUGUUACCUUAACCCCAUCCGACUCCUUGCAAAGUAGUAACUAUUAUGAAAGGGAAACUAGUUGUGGUUCUCAAACUUGAACAUGCAUCAGAAUCACUUGGAGGGCUUGUUAAUUCCCAGAACCAUGGAGCUCACCUCUAUAGUUUCUAAUUUUGUAGAUCAGAGGACAGGGCAGGAGAAUCUGCAUUUCUAUCAGGUUCUCAGGUGGUACUGAUGUGGUUAGUCUGAGCCCAGUCGCAAGUCUAUACUUUGAGAAGCCUAGGCACAGAGGAAGGUCAGUGGGCAGAGAACUAUCUCAAGGGACUAUCCACAACCCAACCUGGCUGGUUCAGAGCCUCUGUCCAGCAGCCAGAGCUGCCAGGCUUGAACGACUCACUCAUUCUAACACAAUUCACAAAAGAUUUUUUUUUUUUUGAAACAGGGUCUUGCUCUGUCACUCAGGCUGGAGUACAGUAGCAUGAUCAUGGCUCAGUGCAGCCUCGACCUCCCAGACUCAGGCGAUCCUCCCACCCCAGCUUCCCAAGUAGCUGGGACUAUAGGAGUGUGCCACCAUGCCCGGCUAACGUUAACUUUUUUUUUUUUUUCCUUUUUUUUAGAAAUGGAGUCUCUCUACGUUGCCCAGGCUGCUGGUCUCAAACUCUCGGGCUCAAGCAAUCCUUCCCCUUCAGCCUCCUGAAGUGCUGGGAUUAUAGGCGUGAACUACCAUGCCUGGCUCACAAGAAAUGUUCUGAGAUGGGGUCUUGCUAUGUUGCCCAGACUACUCUCAACUCCUAGAUGAAAGUGAUCUGCCUGCCUCGGCCUCCCAAAGUGUUAGGAUUACAGGCAUGAGCCACCUCACUGGGCUUGUAAAUACUUAUUGAGUGAAUGAGACAUUCUUCAGCACUAAGUAAAGUUGACAGCCUCCUAAGGGAUUAGAUUAGAAACUUCCACAGUCGGAUGUGGGCAGAAGAUGAGGAGGCAGCCUCAGAGACUGAGAGGAGCUGCCAGCGAGGACAAAGAAAACCUGCUGCACCGGGAUGAACCCCACGCUCCUCGGCAGAGCGUGGGCUAACCUGGGCCAACUGCCUGCCGCCUUCCUCUCCAGACUCAUCUCUUCCUGCCAUCCUUUUGGGGCCAAUUUUAGUAUUUUCCCAAAUGCAUCCUAUAGCUUCAGACCUUCACACAUGCUGUCCCCUCUCUAGGAUUACAAAAGUCACAUGAGCUCAUUAUCAGUAAGUUGAACACAAUGGAAAUACAUGACAGAGUAGAAGCUGGCCAGCACCCCUGCUCUCCAUUAGUAAGCAUUUGUACUAUGCGUUCGCAGAUGUGUUUUCUGUGCAUAUUCUAAUGCACUUGCUCUCACACACAUGCACACACCAGAUUUUCCUCCCUGCCUCCAAAAUGGGAAAUACCUCCUUUAGCGCAUGAUUUUUCCUCUUAAUGUAUUAUGGACCCUUUCCACAUACAUAGAGAGUACAUACUUGCUUAUGCUUAUAUUUCAAUACAAAUGUACAUGCAGUGAGUGCAUUUCGGUACACAGAGAGGUGCCUUGUUCUUUAAGAUAGAUCUUUAGAGUUUGAGUGUAUAGAUUAAUCACAAUGUAUUUAAACAAUCUGCAUUAAUAAACCUUCCAUCUCUUUUUUAUUUCUUUCUUUUCUUCUCUUCUCUUUUCUUUUCUUUUGAGAUGGGAGUCUUGCUCUGUUGCCCAGGCUGGAGUGCCAUGGCACAAUCUCAGCUCACUGUAACCUCCACCUCCCAAGUUCAAGUGACCCUCUCACCUAAGCUUCCCGAGUAGCUGGGAUUACAGGUGCCCUCCACCACACCUAGCUAUUUUUCUCUGUGUGUAUUUUUUUUUUUUUAAAUAGAGAUGGGUUGCACCAUGUUGGUCAGGCUGGUCUCAAACUCUUAACCUCAACUGAUCCACCUUGGCUGCCUUGGCCUCCCCAAGUGCUGGGAUUAUAGGCAUGAGCCAUUGCACCUGGCCACCCUUUCUUUUUUCUUCUUCUUCUUUCUUUUUUUUUUUUUUUUUUUUUUUUUGAGACAGAAUCUCACUCUGUUGCCCAGGCUAGAGUGCAGUGGUAUGAUGACAGUUCAUUGCCGCCUCAACCUCCUGGGCCCAAGUGAUCCUUCUUCCUGUCUCCUGAAUAGCUG
rnacentral:lncRNA from 1 species